UCCCUGUUCCUGCAGGUGUCCUACAUCCCCCCUCCAGGCGCUAUCCCGCUUUUCCCGCCUCCGGCCCCUCCGGAGCCGGCCCCGGCUGCUGCCGAGCUGGACACGGUCACCGAGACGGCCGGAGAGGAGGACACGGAAGAUCCGGAGGCCACGGGGGACACAGAGCCCUCGGCAUCCUCGGGAGCACCUGGCUCAGAGGCACCCUCAUUCCCAAAGAAACCGCCCGGGAAUCACAUCCAGGGGGUGAAGAGGAGGAGGAGGAGCUCUCCCAAAAAACCGUUAUCCAACAAACCGCAGGACUUCCAGAUCCGGGUGAGGGUCAUCGAGGCCCGGCAGCUUCCCGGGAUCCAGAUCCGGCCGGUGGUGAAGGUGACGGUGGCCGGACAAACGCGGAGAACGCGGAUCCGGAAAGGGAACAGCCCCUUCUUCGAUGAGGUCAGCGGGAAUUCCCGCU